rnacentral:rRNA from 1 species
GACGAACGCUGGCGGCGUGCUUAACACAUGCAAGUCGAACGGAAAGGCCCUGCUUUUGUGGGGUGCUCGAGUGGCGAACGUGUGAGUAACACGUGAGUAACCUGCCCUUGACUAUCGGAUAACUUCAGGAAACUGAGGCUAAUACCGGAUAGGAGCUCCUGCUGCAUGGUGGGGGUUGGAAAGUUUCGGCGGUUGGGGAUGGACUCGCGGCGUAUCAGCUUGUUGGCGGGGUAGUGGCUUACCAAGGCUUUGACGGGUAGCCGGCCUGAGAGGGUGGCCGGCCACAUUGCGACUGAGAUACGGCCCAGACUCCUACGGGAGGCAGCAGUGGGGAAUAUUGCACAAUGGGAGGAAGCCUGAUGCAGCAAAGCCGCGUGCGGGAUGACGGCCUUCGGGUUGUUAACCGCUGUCGCCUGUGAAGAGGCGUGAGUGACGGUAAUGGGUUAAGAAGCACCGGCUAACUACGUG